ACCCGCCGAAUUUAAGCAUAUCAUAAAGCGGAG
rnacentral:rRNA from 1 species